rnacentral:rRNA from 1 species
AUUGAACGCUGGCGGCAUGCUUUACACAUGCAAGUCGAACGGCAGCGCGGGCUUCGGCCUGGCGGCGAGUGGCGAACGGGUGAGUAAUGCAUCGGAAAGUGCCCAGUAGUGGGGGAUAGCCCGGCGAAAGCCGGAUUAAUACCGCAUACGACCUGAGGGUGAAAGCGGGGGACCGAAAGGCCUCGCGCUAUUGGAGCGGCCGAUGUCGGAUUAGCUAGUUGGUGGGGUAAAGGCUUACCAAGGCGACGAUCCGUAGCUGGUCUGAGAGGACGACCAGCCACACUGGGACUGAGACACGGCCCAGACUCCUACGGGAGGCAGCAGUGGGGAAUUUUGGACAAUGGGGGCAACCCUGAUCCAGCCAUGCCGCGUGCGGGAAGAAGGCCUUCGGGUUGUAAACCGCUUUUGUUCGGGAAGAAAUCCUCUGGGCUAAUACCCCGGGGGGAUGACGGUACCGGAAGAAUAAGCACCGGCUAACUACGUG